AAGGAAUAUUGCUCAAUGGGAGAAAUCCUGAAGCAGCAACGCCGCGUGGAGGAUGAAGGGUCUAUGACUUGUAAACUCCUGUAAAGAAGGAAAAAAUUCCCAUUAGAUGGGAGAUGAUGGUACUUCUGGAGUAAGCCCCGGCUAACUACGUGCCAGCAGCCGCGGUAAUACGUAGGGGGCAAGCGUUGUCCGGAUUUACUGGGUGUAAAGGGUGCUCAGGCGGAUUUGUAAGUCAGAGGUGAAAUCUUACAGCUUAACUGUGAAACUGCCUUUGNUACUGCAAGCCUAGAGUAUGGAAGAGAGUGAUGGAAUAUCUGGUGUAGCAGUGAAAUGCGUAGAUAUCAGAUAGAACACCAAUGGCGAAGGCAGUCACUUGGUCCAUUACUGACGCUAAAGCACGAAAGCGUGGGUAGCAAACA
rnacentral:rRNA from 1 species